GACGAACGCUGGCGGCGUGCUUAACACAUGCAAGUCGAACGGAAAGGCCCUGCUUUUGUGGGGUGCUCGAGUGGCGAACGGGUGAGUAACACGUGAGUAACCUGCCCUUGACUUUGGGAUAACUUCAGGAAACUGGGGCUAAUACCGGAUAGGAGCUCCUGCUGCAUGGUGGGGGUUGGAAAGUUUCGGCGGUUGGGGAUGGACUCGCGGCUUAUCAGCUUGUUGGUGGGGUAGUGGCUUACCAAGGCUUUGACGGGUAGCCGGCCUGGGAGGGGGACCGGCCACAAUGGGACUGAGAUACGGACCAGACUCCUACGGGAGGCAGCAGUGGGGAAUAUUGCGCAAUGGGCGGGAGCCUGAGGCAGCAACGCCGCGUGCGGGAUGACGGCCUUCGGGUUGUAAACCGCUUUCGCCUGUGACGAAGCGUGAGUGACGGUAAUGGGUAAAGAAGCACCGGCUAACUACGUG
rnacentral:rRNA from 1 species